rnacentral:rRNA from 1 species
UACGUAGGGUGCAAGCGUUGUCCGGAAUUAUUGGGCGUAAAGAGCUCGUAGGCGGUUUGUUGCGUCGGCUGUGAAAUCCCGAGGCUCAACCUCGGGUCUGCAGUCGAUACGAGCAAACUAGAGUGUUGCAGGGGAGACUGGAAUUCCUGGUGUAGCGGUGAAAUGCGCAGAUAUCAGGAGGAACACCUGAGGCGAAGGCGGGCUACUGGGCUGAUACUGACGCUGAUGCGCGAAAGCCAGGGGAGCAAACGGG